rnacentral:rRNA from 1 species
GAUGAACGCUGGCGGCGUGCCUAAUACAUGCAAGUCGAGCGAACAGACGAGGAGCUUGCUCCUCUGACGUUAGCGGCGGACGGGUGAGUAACACGUGGAUAACCUACCUAUAAGACUGGGAUAACUUCGGGAAACCGGAGCUAAUACCGGAUAAUAUAUUGAACCGCAUGGUUCAAUAGUGAAAGACGGUUUUGCUGUCACUUAUAGAUGGAUCCGCGCUGCAUUAGCUAGUUGGUAAGGUAACGGCUUACCAAGGCAACGAUGCGUAGCCGACCUGAGAGGGUGAUCGGCCACACUGGAACUGAGACACGGUCCAGACUCCUACGGGAGGCAGCAGUAGGGAAUCUUCCGCAAUGGGCGAAAGCCUGACGGAGCAACGCCGCGUGAGUGAUGAAGGUCUUCGGAUCGUAAAACUCUGUUAUUAGGGAAGAACAGAUGUGUAAGUAAAUGUGCACGUCUUGACGGUACCUAAUCAGAAAGCCACGGCUAACUACGUG